CAUCUCAUCAAUUGGAAGGAAUCCCUUCCAAUCAAUGAGGUAUAAAAACCUCAUCAAUCGGAAGGGAUUCCUUCCGAUUGAUGAGGCU
rnacentral:miRNA from 1 species